rnacentral:piRNA from 1 species
UAGCAAGUAACCUUUUCAGGCAUUGGUUG